rnacentral:rRNA from 1 species
AUACGUAGGGGGCGAGCGUUGUCCGGAAUUACUGGGCGUAAAGGGCGCGCAGGCGGUUUGAUAAGUCGCUCGUGAAAAGCACUGGCUCAACCGGUGCACUGCGAGUGAAACUGUCAGACUUGAGUGCAGUAGAGGGAAGCGGAAUUCCUAGUGUAGCGGUGAUAUGCGUAGAUAUUAGGAAGAACACCAGUGGCGAAGGCGGCUUUCUGGGCUGCAACUGACGCUGAGGCGCGAAAGCUGGGGGAGCGAACGGGAUUAGAUACCCCGGUAGUCCCAGCCGUAAACGAUGAUCACUAGGUGUAGGAGGUAUCGACCCCUUCUGUGCCGAAGCAAACGCAUUAAGUGAUCCGCCUGGGGAGUACGUCCGCAAGGAUGAA